UACGUAGGGUGCGAGCGUUAAUCGGAAUUACUGGGCGUAAAGCGUGCGCAGGCGGUUCGUUGUGUCGGCGGUGAAAGCCCCGGGCUCAACCUGGGAAUGGCCGUUGAAACUGGCGAACUGGAGUGUGGCAGAGGGGGGUGGAAUUCCGCGUGUAGCAGUGAAACGCGUAGAGAUGCGGAGGAACCCCGAUGGCGAAGGCAGCCCCCUGGGCUAACACUGACGCUCAGGCACGAAAGCGUGGGGAGCAAACAGG
rnacentral:rRNA from 1 species